UUUGCACUUAGCAUUUCUCAACUCGGAACCCUCAUAAACCCAACUCCAUUUCCUUUCCAAUUUUCAAGAUUUCUCCAAUUCAGUGAGCACCCAGAUAAGAAAACCCAGUUUACGGGGUUUUCAAAAGCGUUGAAACUGUGAUUUUUGGCCGUAUUGGUGGGAAAAUUGAAACCCAGUUGAGGUUUUGAGUGGAUUUGGGGAAUUUAGAGGAAACCCAAAUGGAGUGAAUGAGUUGGGAUUGUUUUGGGGAUCGGAGAGAUGAGUUGAAGAGUGUUGGGUUGUUGAGCAAGUGUAGUUGGAUGAAUAAGAAGAUAGCGAUGUGGGUUUGGAUUGACAGAGGAGUCGAAGCAUGAUUUGUUGGGAGGAUACAUAUUCUGGCGAGGGUUUGCAGAUUCCGGCAAGGUUCCGCCAAAAUUCACGUAGUUUCCGAUCUCUAUUUUCUGGUAAAUUUCAGUUGGGAUUAAUGAGGUGUCAAGGAUGAGUAUAGUCAUCCUUGGUUCGAAAUAUGGGACCAGGUAAAAUGUGUUAAUAAGGCGGUUUUGAACGCCAAGGGACGUUCUGGGAUGUAACCAAGUGUUCAAGUGCCCGGCGGCAUGCGUUUCAUUGUCAUCGGAGCCUUACAGUGUUGCAAGAAGUGAAUUCAAUGGACGGCCAGUGGUCAAGAAUGUUAGGAAGCGUGCCAAGGCUUCGGAAAGAAGGCAAAUGCAUCGAACAUGGCCCUCAAGGGUAUCCAAGAGACCAAGGGCACGUGGCAUACUUUUGUCAAGUCCCGUUGAUCAAGUAUUGAAGAAUUGGUGAGAGACACCACAAGGCCUGAAAUGCCAAGCUAUACCCAUUCUGCAGUUUUGGAGCAAAGGUACCAAUACCUCAAAAACAUGGUACCGGUACCAUGUUGCUGAUAUGGGAGACAGUUGAGUUAGUAGCAAUACCUCAUUUUCUAGGUACCGGUACCAAUGCCCUUUGACCAGCCUUUUAUGCUGAAUGUAUCAACCUUCCAUUUAUGAAAAGUGCCUACUUUAGGCAUGUUUUUGGAAUAUUUUGGGGGUCUUUUGGUCUAUUGUAGGGCUAAUUAUUUAGCCUUAUAAAUAGCCUUUUAUGCCAUAUAUGGCACAUAUGUAAUCUUUUAUACUUUAAGUCUUUUGAAUUCCUAGAGCUCCUUUGGUAAGUUUCAAGCUUUAUUUCUCUUGUUUCCUUCAAGAACACUAGCAAGCAAUUGUAUUACGUUAAUUUCUCGAGUA